CCUGGCCUUGACAUACUAAGAACUUUCCAGAGAUGGAUUGGUGCCCUUCGGGAACUUAGAUACAGGUGCUGCAUGGCUGUCGUCAGCUCGUGUCGUGAGAUGUUGGGUUAAGUCCCGCAACGAGCGCAACCCUUUUCUUAUUGCCAGCGGGUUAAGCCGGGAACUUUAAGGAUACUGCCAGUGACAAACUGGAGGAAGGCGGGACGACGUCAAGUCAUCAUGGCCCUUACGGCCAGGGCUACACACGUGCUACAAUGGUCGGUACAAAGGGUUGCUACCUCGCGAGAGGAUGCUAAUCUCAAAAAGCCGAUCGUAGUCCGGAUCGCAGUCUGCAACUCGACUGCGUGAAGUCGGAAUCGCUAGUAAUCGCGGAUCAGAAUGCCGCGGUGAAUACGUUCCCGGGCCUUGUACACACCGCCCGUCACACCAUGGGAGUUUGUUGCACCAGAAGUAGGUAGUCUAACCGCAAGGAGGACGCUUACCACGGUGUGGCCGAUGACUGGGGUGAAGUCGUAACAAGGUAAGCGUAGAUGA
rnacentral:rRNA from 1 species